rnacentral:rRNA from 1 species
AUUGAACGCUGGCGGCAGGCCUAACACAUGCAAGUCGAACGAGUGGCGGACGGGUGGGUAAUUUCUGGGAAACUGCCCGAUGGGGGGGGAUAACUACUGGAAACGGUCGCUAAUACCGCAUACCAUCGGAUGUGCCCAGAUGGGAUUAGCUAGUAGGUGGGGUAAAGGCUCACCAAGGCGACGAUCCCUAGCUGGUCUGAGAGGAUGACCAGCCACACUGGAACUGAGACACGGUCCAGACUCCUACGGGAGGCAGCAGUGGGGAAUAUUGCACAAUGGGCGCAAGCCUGAUGCAGCCAUGCCGCGUGUAUGAAGAAGGCCUUCGGGUUGUAAAGCACUUUAAGUGGGGAGGCGUUACCAGCAGAAGAAGCACCGGCUAACUCCGUGCCAGCAGCCGCGGUAAUUC